GAUCUCCGAUCCUCCUAAAAAAUACUUAGGUAUUCUUACAAAGGAUUUAGAGGAAGCAUUUCUUGUGAGACAUAGAGACAUUAGAAAUGAUCCCAAGACCUACGAUAAGGCAAUGUUAGAUAUUGACUCCGAGAAAUAGAUGGAAGCGAUGAAGUCAGAAAUUGACUCUAUACAUUCCAACUAGAUUUGAUCCUUAGUAGAUCCACCUGAAGAUAUUGUACCUAUUGGAUGUAAAUAGAUUUACAGAAAAAAAA
rnacentral:lncRNA from 1 species